rnacentral:misc_RNA from 1 species
CCGGUCACCAGUAACCUUGCUUCCGGGCGGUUCCGGGUGUGCUGUUUGGUGACGUGAAAAUCUCACGAGAAUAUCACGAUGGAGAAGGGCGUUGACUGCUUUUCUCAGGAACCUUUCACCUACUUCACAGAAGAUGCUCUCAUGCUGGGUACAAAUACAGAUGGAGAUCUCACAAAAUAUGAGGAAUGCUUAAAGCACAUGCAAAAGAAGUCCAUCCCACAAUUCUUGAAAAACAAUGGUCUGCAACACCUCGUGACGAAUCCCGAACUGGCGGCAUCGGUGUGCCGCUACCUGCUGUACGUGGUCUCCUGCCACAGCGACCUUGUGGUCGUCAAUGCGGCGGCCAACACUCUCCUGUACCACGUCGAGAGUGGCGUCUGCUUCGCCCCCGACCGGUCACAGAUAUUGGCAAUUGCCAUGAACAUGGGCUUGAAUAAGGCUGCCUUGUCGGAGGAUUUUUUCCG